rnacentral:tRNA from 1 species
CGGGGUGUGGCGCAGUUGGCUAGCGCGCCGCGUUUGGGACGCGGAGGCCGGAGGUUCGAGUCCUCUCACCCCGA